AUGGGUGAUGAAGGUGGUCUUCUCCUGAUCCUUCUCUUCCAUAAGGAUCUGAUUGUAGCCUAAGUAGGCGUCUAAGAAGCUUAACAAUUCAUGCCCGGCCGUUACGUCAAUGAGCUGGUCGAUAUGGGGUAACGGGAAUGAGUCUUUGGGGCAUGCUUUAUUCAAAUCUGUAAAGUCUACGCAUAUUCGCCACUUCCCAUUUUUCUUUUUCACCAUGACCACAUUGGCGACCCAUUGGGGGUAUUUUGACUCCCUGAUGGAGCCAUUUCCCAGUAAUUUUUCGACCUCUUCGCGGACUGCAUCAUUUAUUGUGGAAUUGAACUUUCGCCUAACCUACCUCACUGGGGUUGGAAUGGGUCGACGUUUAACUUGUGUGUGGCAAUCUCCUUCGGGAUACCUGGCAUAUCUGCGUGGGAGAAAGCAAACAAGUCUGCGUUAGUAGUUAAGAAGUGACGGAAUUUACCUGGUUCUUGAAGCUUGCAUUGUUGUGGUCAUUAUCUGCGUGGGAAAAAGCAAACAAGUCUGUAUUGUUGUGGUCGUUAUCAUCAAGUUGAACGGGGUCGAGGUAUUCUAUGGUUGAUCCCGCGGCCUCUACUGUUUCGGGAUCUCUGAUGACGUCCUCUCUUUCGUCACAGCUCCACCUCGACCCUGUUAAUUGCUAUGCCUAUUUUAUUUUUCCCUUCAUUUUUUGGGUGGUCGUACAAUCCAGGGUGAUGCGGUAGCAUUCUCUAGAUAUGCGUUGUUCUCCUUGUAUGUUGAAUAUUUCCCAUGGGGUUGGAAAUUUGAUAACUUGGUACAAGCUGGAGGGGAUGGCCCUCAUGGCGUGUAUCCAAGGUCGGCCUAUUAUGGCGUCGUACACCGUAUCCUGGUCCAUGAUGUGGAAUGUGGUUUUCAGAGUGACGCCGCCGGCCAGGACGGGGAGUGUGAUUUCUCCAGAAGUUCAUUCAACUGCAUUGUUAAAACCUAUUAGCGUGAUGCAACGCGACACUAUCUUAUCCUCGAGUUUCAUUUGUGCAAGUACUCGAGGGUGGAUAAUGUACGCGCCGCUCCUAUCGUCCACCAUAAUGCAUCUUACAUCUGUAUCUAAUAUUCGUAAAGUGAUAACGAGGGCGUCAUAGUGAGGGAAAACCAAACCGUGGGUAUCUGACUUAUCGAAGAUGAUACUUUCUUCGAGUUCGUCAUACCGUUCGUGAGUGAUCGACCGAUUGAGCUUAUGGGUUGUGGUGAAAUUUACGCUAUUGAUCGAAGCAUCGUCGCCGCCUCUGAUGAUCAUUUGAAUGGUGCGAGUCGGUGAGGGUGCUUUCGGUGGUCCCUGGUGCUGUUCACGUCCUCGGGCAAAUUUGGUCCUUCCUCGGUCGCUUAGUAAUUCUUUGAGGUAUCCUUGGUAAUACAUGUUUACGACCUCCUACCUUAGGGCGAUGCAAUCCUCAGUUUUGUAACCUCGCUCUUGGUGGAACUCGCAGAAGGCAUUUGACUUUCUGGUGCUUAGGUCUGACCUCAUCUUUUGUGGCCACUUUACUUUUGGUCCGAGCUUCUCCGAUGCGUAGACUAUUUCUGAGGGUGACACCCAAAAAUUAUGAGCGGAUAAUUAAAUGGGGCAUACCUAUCUCGUUCCGGUGAGUCCCUGUCCUUGGUCUAGAUGGGCCCUCUUCGUGGCAGGAGGGGGCAUGAUGGCGCUUCUGAUAUAUGGAUGAUGCCUUUCUCGGUUGAGUUGUGGAGCUGCAAAGUCCCUCUUGGCAUCAUUUUUUCGAUCCUUCCUAGAUUUGGCCUGCACCUAGGUCAACUGAUGAGUUGGCCCAUUCAGGUCAUUUUCGUCUGCACGGACCUCGGCACAGUAGGCGUUGUGUAUUUCAUCCCAAGUUGUUGGAGGAUAUUUUAUAAGCCGACUUAAUAAUUUUCUGGUUGCUCUUGAGCCAAUCCUGUUCAGCCUGUUUUGGAAAGCUGCUACAGCCAUUCCUUCCGAUACAUUCGAUAAGGUCAUCCUUAGUCGGUUGAAUCGAGUGAGGAAGUCCCUCAAUCCCUCUCCGGGCGAUUGUUUGAAGGCAAAUAUAUUAUUUACUCUUGCCUCCGCCUUUUUGGCCCCAGCAUGGAUCGUUACGAACUUGUCGGCCAUCUCUUCGAACAUUUCAAUGGAACACGCGGGCAGUUGUGAAUACCAAGUUAAUGCUCUUCUAGUGAGGGUCUCGCCGAGCUUUUUCAACAAGAUGGAGGAUACUUGUUCUUUGGCGAGAUCAUUGCCUUUUACCGCAGUGACAUAGUGAGUCGCAUGAUCUUCGGGGUCGAUCGCACCAUCAUAUAUUUUCAGAUAAGGCGGCAUCUUGAAGGUCUUGGGUAUGGCAUGCGGGGUGGCUUUAUCACUAUAGGGUUGCUCAACGAACCGACCAUCAUCUUUUUUUGGCAAGAGUUUUGGGGCACCCGGUAUUUUGUCGACUCUUUCUUGGUGCUCUCUCAUUUGGCCCCGAAGCAUUUUAUUCUCAUUUUCCAUUUCUUCCAUCUUCCUUAGAAUGGCUGUGAGGGUGUCGUCACAUGCAUUAUUAACAUUGUGAGUGAUACCUGUUACUAGAGGGAGAGGGCCGUGCUGCUCGGCCAUUGUCGGUGCAAUGCUAGUCCUUGUGUUUUCUCUAGUUGCCUCCUGGGCGGGCUUGUCGAGGAUGCUGGUUAGCGUGUUUGUUAGCCAAGCCUCGAGUAAUUUUUUCAUUACUGGUGGUGCCUCUUCCGUCGUGGAUGUGGAAGCUCCUUUACCGCGGGAUGUUGUGAUAUUGUCGUGAGGGAGGGGCGACCCAACUCGCCUGGGGGAGGCGUUGGGCGUUAUAUCCUUGCCUUCUGUUUUAGAAAUCUCAUUGAUGGUGUUCAAGAGGUUGGUGGUGAGAUCGGCCACUGCCUUCAUCCAUUCUUCUCCAUUACCUGCCUUGUCAGAUCCGUGUGUACAAGGAAAAAUGAGUUUUGCUCUUCCUUUUUUUUUUUUUGUAAACUGUGCUAGUUAUAGAUCUAGGAGAAACUAAAAAUUUAACUAGGAAAUCCCCACAGACGACGCCAAAUUGUUUGACCAAAAUGUGUAAAUCUUCGAUUAAACUAAUUAGUUUUAUGUAAUGAGGGAUUAAGCCUAGUUGAUAAUAAUAUCCCUCAAUUUAUAACUAGCUAACACAAAUAACGCAAGAUAUCGUUGGUGAUGGAUUAAAUGCAGUGUGCAUUUGAUGUUUCAAGGGGAGUAAUGAUGAAGAAUAUCAAGUAAUAAAUAACAAUAAAUGACAUUAACGUAAAUAAGGAGAAUGAUUCACCCAAUAUUGAAUGAGGUGGAUGGUUCUUCUCUCUGAUAGUGAUGAGUGAUAGACAAAUCCUAGAAUAUUGGAACUAUUCUCAGAUUUGAUGGAAAUGAGUGGAAUAAUGGAUGUUAGAAUUUUCUUAGAAAGGUAGUGUUUGUAUCUUUUCUAGAGAGAGUCUUCCUCUCAAAAAGUGCUCUUAUCCGAAAGAAAUAUUACAUGCCCUUUCCCCUGAUCUCUUUUUCUAUUUAUAUGGGACAUAUCCCCAGUCAACCCUAAAAGUACCAGUACAUAGAAUAUUCAGUGGAAUAUUUCUUUAAAUAUUCUAUUACAAAAACUAGUCGUUAGUACCGUCCUUAAUACUUGACCUUGGUCGUUAUUGACCGCCCGGCUACGAGCCCUACUGUCCACUAGUCGACUUUGGCCAUAUCACUUUUCAUAAUACCACUCCAUGCUAAAUCCCACUAAGACAGAUUUUGACCUAUACACUAUUUACCUAAAAUAGAAAAAUAUUCCUACCCUUCCAAACCAUUUCUUCUUCUCCUUCUUCUCCAUUUUCUUUUUCUUCAAAUUUGGAAAUUGGUGUUAUUUUCAAAUAGGUGUUGUUAGAGAAUGUUGAAAAUCACCUAAGGAGACCGUGUUUUAAAUUUGGGAUCAAUCAGAGGUAAUGUAAAUCACUUUUGGAUCAAAAUCCGAAAUUCACUAUUAUUGAGCCAACCUUAUUCUGAUAUAUGUUCUCCCCCUUAAUCUUAAUCAUUUACUCAUCGUCAACACAUAAACAUUUAAUUUAAAUAUUUUUUUUGUACUUAAGGAUUAUGUCUUGAAGUUUGAACUGGGUGAAUGAGAUGGCCACAUGCACUUGCGCUGGGAUUGAAUCUGCUAUGUUUUGGCUUUAGCUUUAACUUUUACUACUUGAAUUGAAAGUCGUGUGGGCUUCUUGAAAGUCAAUUUACAAGUUGAUGUUCACUUGAUCUCGACUUAACGUACAUAUCUAUCCAUUUUAUUAUAAUUAUAAAUAAUAUGAUGGGAAAUUGGAAGGAGGAAUCAGACAUUUGCCAAUGGAAUAUCCAUUUGAAGUUCGUCGAUCUGCUUCAAUAAGUUAUGCUAUUUGUUCACUUUUACUUAUCCACAAGGGACUUUGCAUUCCUCUUAUGAAAUUUAUAAAUAAUAUAAAUAAAGUAACUUUUUGUUUUACUAUAAUAACCAUAAUAAUAAGAGCAUUUUAAAAAGUCUUAGAAAAUGGGUAUUAAUGAUAAGGCUGAAAUAGGAAAAAAAUAAUUUUUUCUUAAUUUGCUAAAAUAGACAAGUAAAAUUAAAUAUAUACUUUUAGUAUAAUGGACAAGUAAAAAGUGAAUGAUGAGAGUAAUAAGCAAGGAUUGCCAUAUACUAUUUGAUAUGCCAAUAGUUCAAAGUUUCACUUCCUUGAACUGGCUAUUACCGCGCAACGUGCCCUUGCUUGGUGUAUUGUUAAUUAAUCAAUUUUAAAAAGAGGGAUGGGUUUCAACCUUUCUUUGAGUCGUCAGGAUAAUAAAGUGCUACUUCUAAAAUGAUCGUUAAGCUCAUUCACUCGAUUCCCUCGGUGGCUCUGCUAGCGAUGGAUCAAAAUAUGCGGCCUGCCUAUCAUGCCAAAGGCGCUGCUGAUGGAUAUUCCAAAGAUGUCCUGGCUCUGAACCGGGUACUUGAAAUGCUAAAGAUACUUCUUAUGGUCUUGCUUCAACCACCCUUCCUUCUCUACCUUUUUCUUCAAAAACUUAAGCUACUUAGACCGAUGGUGGCGAUCUCGAAAGGAGAUAUCUGGACCUAGAGCAACUCGUCUUGAUCUUUAUUAUAUUAGGAUGCGAGGAAAGGAAAAGAAGGUGAUAAGCAAGAAGAGUAAAGAAGAAUGUUAAAAAAGUCCCUAUAAGUACUUCACUUAGCCUUUCUAUAGUCUUUCUUCCCCUCUUCUCUCAAAGGACACUCUUUCAUCCAUGCCCAUGGUUCUUACUUUCAUUUCUCCCCUCCUCACAUAGGGGCAUAUCUUUUUUUCAAAGAUGAGUUGUAGAUGUGAUGUGAAAGUUUUUAAUAGGAUACGUAUUUAAGAAAGAAAAGAAUGUUUCCGAAACCUGCAGUUUAAAGCAAAUCAUAAAUAUUUAUGUGGUUAUAAAUUAUUUUAUUAAGGAUAAAAUAGAAACUUUAAAAUUAUAUUAAGUCUCAAUAUAAAUUGUCAUUCUCUUUUGAAUAAAUAAAAGGAAAGUGUGUAAGAUAGAAUUGAACUGAGAGAAUACUAGUUUACAUAUUGAUAAAUAUGUUAUCAGUGUAAAAUUCACAGAUAAAUGAGGCAUCCCAAAAUCUUGUCAAGCCUUUAAGUUGAACUAUGAGGAUCUCAUCACUAAGCAAAGCGAGGCGCUAAUUAAAAGACAUUUAUGCCCCAGAACCUUGUGAAAAUAGGGGAAAUAAGGGCAUAUGUGAUUUAUUUUGGUAACAGCGUAGACAUCUUUUUUUUUUUUUUUUUGGAACCCCAAGAAAAUUCGUAGCUGCUACAGCCUCUGUCCUCUCUGUGGUACAAAUCACACAGGGAUGUAAACCGCAUUAAGCAAGCCCCGUGCGACAGGCUCAGACCCAGAGAGACCCAGAGAGGUAUUGCGGUGGAUAGAACCCGCGUCUUCCGUGUGGAAGUCACCCGCCAAACCCAACUGGGCCGUCCCUUGGGGACUGCGGAGAUAUGUUUGAACCCAACUAUUAACAGAUGACAUAGUUAAUUAUUUUUACAAAAUUUAGAGGCAAAUUUGGACCUUUUCCGUUAAAAAAAAAGGUAACCUCGCACUGAAAUGAUUGGUUCCAUGUUGAGAUGGUGGGUGCACACUUCAUCCCAUGAUCCUUUUUUUUUUGUUUUUUCCAAAUUAUUUUCCUUUUGCAAAAGGAAGAACAAAAUUUUAGAGUUGUACGUUUGGCCGUUUUUCGAGUCCAGCCUUGAAACUUUUUACCUUCUUUUUAUAAAUACAAGUAUACAACCUCCUGCUUCGUAAGCAAAAGAUGGAAAUCCAUGAGCACCUCGUUCUUUCUCCAUCUCUUCUUCUACACAAAUUUAUCAGUUAUCACCGCAAUGAGCUACUUCUGGUUGGGAAACAAGUUAUUCCAGAAUUAAUAAUUAUAUCGGGUUUAGUUAUUUCGAGAUUAUUAUCCCAACCUCCGAUAGAGAUAAAAAAGCACUAUAAUCCUGUGAUAAUUAAUUCCUGAAUUAGUUAUACUGCGAUUUUAUCCCAAACAAACAUGGGAUAAAUUCAUUUUAAAUUUAAUCCCGUAAUAAAUUAUUCCUUAUCCCUAGUACCAAACCACCUUGACUUUGAUUAGUUUAAUUUGUGGCCUGAAGUAAUUAACUUGAAUGUUGAGAAGAAAUCUGUAUGUAUAUACAGCCACAUUUGAAGCAUUAAAUUCUUAACCAAAGUAAAAUGCAUUCACAUAUUGAGGUCCAAAACAUAAACAAUAGAAUCUAACACAACGUACAUCAAGGUGCAUUGAUAUUGAAGUUCAAAUCAUCAGUCAAGAACAAGACACCAAAGGACAAACACAAAAACAAAAUCAAGAAUAGUCUAAGACAAUUAAUCCAUAUAAAUGAAAUAAAACAGCGUCACACAACCAUAAUAUAAUGGUACAAUCAACUCAUAUUAGUCAUCAAAAGCAUGCAUCUAAUAGACAGCAACAACACAGAGCAGCCAAACAUCCUCCCAUGAGUCCCGCACCACCAGAUGAUUGUUGUUGUUGUUGUUGUUGAGGUGGCGCAUACUGAGGGGCAUACUGGGGCGGGUACCCCGGUCCCUGUGGAGGAUACCCUUGUGGAGGGUAGCCUUGUGGUGGAUAUCCUUGUGGUGGAGGGACACCAACAGGAGGUUGUUGAUUGUAGUAACUCAUCUUCUGAUGAAAAGUUGCUAGCUAGAGAGAGUUUUUGUGAAAGGAGAAUUAGUCUUUUCUUAGGCAGAAAGAUAAUGGGGUACAUUGAAGAGGUGUAUAUUUAUUCAUUUUAUAGAUUAAAGUCAAAGUGGUGACAACGAGGACUAGGCCACUUAUUUAAAGAAAACCCCUUAUUUUAUUUAUUUUUUUCGGUGACAUUUAUUUCUUUCUU
rnacentral:lncRNA from 1 species